CCUACUGGAGGCUGCAGUAGGGAAUAUUGCUCAAUGGGGGAAACCCUGAAGCAGCGACGCCGCGUGGAUGAUGAAGGUUUUCGGAUUGUAAACUCCUUUUGUUAGAGAAGAUAAUGACGGUAUCUAACGAAUAAGCACCGGCUAACUCCGUGCCAGCAGCCGCGGUAAUACGGAGGGUGCAAACGUUACUCGGAAUCACUGGGCGUAAAGAGCUCGUAGGCGGGUUAGCAAGUCAGUUGUGAAGUCCUAUGGCUUAACCAUAGAACUGCAUUUGAAACUGUUAUUCUAGAGUAUGGGAGAGGUAGGUGGAAUUCCUGGUGUAGGGGUAAAAUGCGUAGAGAUGAGGAGGAAUACGCAGUGCGAAGGCGACCUGCUAGAACGGAACUGACGCUGAGGCGCGAAAGCGUGGGGAGCAAACAGGAUUAGAUACCCCUGUAGUC
rnacentral:rRNA from 1 species